rnacentral:rRNA from 1 species
CUGGAGCAGGUCCCAAGGGUUUGGCUGUUCGCCAAUUAAAGAGGUACGUGAGCUGGGUUUAGAACGUCGUGAGACAGUUCGGUCCCUAUCUGCCGUGGGCGCAAGAGACUUGAGAAGAGCUGCCCCUAGUACGAGAGGACCGGGGUGGACGAACCUCUGGUGGACCUGUUGUUGCGCCAGCAGCAUUGCAGGGUAGCUAUGUUCGGAAGGGAUAACCGCUGAAAGCAUCUAAGCGGGAAGCCUCCUUCAAGAUAAGGUCUCUCUAUUAGAGCCGUGGAAGACCACCACGUUGAUAGGUCAGGUGUGGAAGUGCGGUAACGCAUGGAGCUAACUGAUACUAAUUGCUCGAUCGGCUUUAGAGC